AAGGAAGUUCAGCGGCCUAAACCUCUGGAUUAAGCUCGACCUGGGGGCAGACAGUGGCAUUUCAUCGAGUCCAAAGGGAGCUGACGAUGCAUCAUUAUAUUUAUGAUGGGCCGAAGCCGCGUCACCACACCCAGGUGAGUAAUCUCUGAAGUCCUGGCUUAGGUAAGUCCUUGGUUCCUAGAACCCUAGAGGAAGUACACAGCACACACUGUUCUAAGGAUUUAGAACAUU
rnacentral:lncRNA from 1 species